rnacentral:rRNA from 1 species
GAUGAACGCUGGCGGCGUGCCUAUACAUGCAAGUCGAGCGAACAGACGAGGAGCUUGCUCCUCUGACGUUAGCGGCGGACGGGUGAGUAACACGUGGAUAACCUACCUAUAAGACUGGGAUAACUUCGGGAAACCGGAGCUAAUACCGGAUAAUAUAUUGAACCGCAUGGUUCAAUAGUGAAAGACGGUUUUGCUGUCACUUAUAGAUGGAUCCGCGCCGCAUUAGCUAGUUGGUAAGGUAACGGCUUACCAAGGCAACGAUGCGUAGCCGACCUGAGAGGGUGAUCGGCCACACUGGAACUGGGACACGGUCCAGACUCCUACGGGAGGCAGCAGUAGGGAAUCUUCCGCAAUGGGCGAAAGCCUGACGGAGCAACGCCGCGUGAGUGAUGAAGGUCUUCGGAUCGUAAAACUCUGUUAUUAGGGAAGAACAAAUGUGUAAGUAACUAUGCACGUCUUGACGGUACCUAAUCAGAAAGCCACGGCUAACUACGUG